rnacentral:rRNA from 1 species
GAUGAACGCUGGCGGCGUGCCUAAUACAUGCAAGUCGAGCGAACAGACGAGGAGCUUGCUCCUCUGACGUUAGCGGCGGACGGGUGAGUAACACGUGGAUAACCUACCUAUAAGACUGGGAUAACUUCGGGAAACCGGAGCUAAUACCGGAUAAUAUAUUGAACCGCAUGGUUCAAUAGUGAAAGACGGUUUUGCUGUCACUUAUAGAUGGAUCCGCGCCGCAUUAGCUAGUUGGUAAGGUAACGGCUUACCAAGGCAACGAUGCGUAGCCGACCUGAGAGGGUGAUCGGCCACACUAGAACUGGGACGCGGACCAGGCUCCUACGGGAGGCAGCAGUAGGGAAUCUUCCGCAGUGGGCGGAAGCUUGACGGAGCAACGCCGCGUGAGUGAUGAAGGUCUUCGGAUCGUAAAACUCUGUUAUUAGGGAAGAACAAAUGUGUAAGUAACUAUGCACGUCUUGACGGUACCUAAUCAGAAAGCCACGGCUAACUACGUG